rnacentral:rRNA from 1 species
GUCGUCAGCUCGUGUCGUGAGAUGUUGGGUUAAGUCCCGCAACGAGCGCAACCCUCGACCUUAGUUGCCAGCAUUCAGUUGGGCACUCUAAGGUGACUGCCGGCUAAAAGUCGGAGGAAGGUGGGGGAUGACGUCAAAUCAUCAUGCCCCUUAUGACCUGGGCUACACACGUGCUACAAUGGGCGGUACAAAGGGUCGCGAACCCGCGAGGGGGGAGCCAAUCCCAAAAAGCCGCUCUCAGUUCGGAUUGCAGGCUGCAACUCGACUCCAUGAAGUUGGAAUCGCUAGUAAUCGCGGAUCAGCAUGCCGCGGUGAAUACGUUCCCGGGCCUU